GCGGAUGUGGCGGAAUUGGUAGACGCAAGGGAUUUAGGAUCCAUCGCCUGACAGCGUGGGGGUUCGAGUCCCUUCAUCCGCACCA
rnacentral:tRNA from 1 species